CUGGUGGUGGUUUUUGAAUUAAGACAUUAUUAUACUUAUACUAUCAUGCACUAUAUUCUUCAUUCUUAAAGUAAGUAUGUACCUUAUAUUAAACUGUUGAUGAAAAAUAAAGGCAAUUUCUCUUUAAUGCUCUAUAGGCUUUCAACCCGAGUUAACAUGAUACUAUCACUUCUGCGACAUGAAGAGGUGUCGAAGAAAAUACGUCCACAAUCCAUUUCUGUUAAGAAACUCCGCCGGAAACCGCCGUGAACCACCGGCGAUUAUGCUUUUUGUUUUUUCUCCGGCGACGGAGAGAUUAGAGAAAGUUAAGGGCGUGAAUUAAUAAUAAGAGAAGUUUUUAGAAUUAAGAAAAGUUUGAAGUUUGAAGAAAUUAUAUUGAAAUGAUUAUUAGCUUAUGGCGGAAGAAGCUAGUAGUCCAAAGCAAUCUCGCCGGAGUUUCCAACGGACAUAUGCUAAAUCCCAUCAUACAGAAAGCGCCGCCCAGUUCCGGCGGUGGUUGUUUCUCAGCGUCAGUUUCCGGCGAUGAAGAAUUCCGGCGAGUGUUUGAGUCACUCUGUGUGUGUUAUUUGUGCAGCUAAAGUUGUAUGAGACAUGGUGGGUGGGUUUUAUAGUGGUUCUAUAUUUUGUGAAAUGACUUAAUUAACCCUUAGUGGAGGGUCAUAUGUGUAAUUCACUCAAAUUUGACUUUUUUUAUCGGCAAAUAUUACUAAGUUAGUAUUUGUUGUGGCUGAUACUCGAACUAUCAACCUCUUUCGCUCCACGUUUUCUCCGUAAUCAUCAA
rnacentral:lncRNA from 1 species